rnacentral:rRNA from 1 species
AUUGAACGCUGGCGGCAGGCCUAACACAUGCAAGUCGGGCGAGCGGCGGACGGGUGAGUAAUGUAUGGGGAUCUGCCUGCUGGAGGGGGAUAACUACUGGAAACGGUAGCUAAUACCGCAUACCAUCAGAUGAACCCAUAUGGGAUUAGCUUGUGGGUGGGGUAACGGCUCACCUAGGCGACGAUCCCUAGCUGGCCUGAGAGGAUGAACGGCCAACCUGGGACUGGGAAACGGCCAAGCCCCCUACGGGAGGAAGAAGUGGGGAAUAUUGGCAAAUGGGGGCAAGCCGAAUGCAGAAAUGCGCGGUGUAUGAGGAGGGCCUUCGGGUUGUAAAGUACUUUCAGUCGGGAGGCGUUACCGACAGAGAAAGCACCGGCUAACUCCGUGCCAGCAGCCGCGGUAAUAC